UCCGUAGGUGAACCUGCGGAAGGAUCAUUACCGAGUUCAUGCCCUUCGGGGUAGAUCUCCCACCCUUUGUAUACUAUACCUUUGUUGCUUUGGCGGGCCGCCUAGCUACUGGCUUCGGCUGGUAAGUGCCCGCCAGAGAACCCAAAACCCUGAAUUAUUAGUGUCGUCUGAGUAAAAUAUUUAAUAUUUAAAACUUUCAACAACGGAUCUCUUGGCUCUGGCAUCGAUGAAGAACGCAGCGAAACGCGAUAAGUAAUGUGAAUUGCAGAAUUCAGUGAAUCAUCGAAUCUUUGAACGCACAUUGCGCCCCUUGGUAUUCCGAGGGGCAUGCCUAUUCGAGCGUCAUUAUCACCCCUCAAGCCUAGCUUGGUAUUGAGACCUGCUGUCAAGGCAGUCUCUAAAAUCAGUGGCAGUGCUGUCAGGCUCUAAGCGUAGUAAAUUCAUCGCUAUAGACACCUGGUGGCCACUCGCCAGAACCCCCCCAUUUUUUAAUGAUUGACCUCGGAUUAGGUAGGGAUACCCGCUGAACUUAAGCAUAUCAAUAAGCGGAGGAA
rnacentral:rRNA from 1 species